rnacentral:rRNA from 1 species
AGUGAACGCUGGCGGCAGGCCUAACACAUGCAAGUCGAGCGGCAGCACAGUAAGGCAUUGUCCUUGCGGGUAGCGAGUGACGGGUGGGUGAGGCAUACAUCAGAUUCUACUUUUUCGUGGGGGACCACGGGGAGCAACUUCCACUACUACCUCAUACGUUCUACGGGAUGAAGCAAGAGUUCAUCGGACCUUGCCCGAUUGUUUGAGCCGGUGCCGGAUUCGCUAGUUGGUGGGGUAAGGGCCCACCAAGGCCACGCUCCGUAGCUGGUCUGAGAGGGUGAUCAGCCACACUGGAACUGAGACACGGUCCAGACUCCUACGGGAGGCAGCAGUGGGGAAUAUUGGACAAUGGGCGCAAGCCUGAUCCAGCCAUACCGCGUGGGUGAGGAAGGCCGUCGGGUUGUAAAGCGCUUUUGUUGGGAAAGAAAAGCAGCAGGUUAAUGCGCCGGUGUGCUGACGGUACCCAACGAAUAAGCACCGGCUAACUUCGUG